rnacentral:lncRNA from 1 species
AAUACUCAACAGAAACUGCUCUGCACUGGCCCCACAUUAGGGGGUUCCUAUCUACGGUUUCUAAAUGUGAGCCCCUUGACACCUGCUGUGGCAGACACAACCAUCCCCAUGGAGGCGCUGAGAACAAUGAAGCACAGACAGGCCAGGGUCACCCAAAGCCGUGAUGACAGCCCGCUUUUCUCUGGUGGUUCUACUCAACCGCUCCACUGAGGUGAUGGGAGAGGUGAGGGGCCCAGGAGGAAGGUGGAGCUCAAAGGGAGGCUGGAACCCAUGGCCAUGACCUACCCCAAGGAGGUGGCCCAGGGCCACAGAGAAGCCUAUGGAGAGAGCAGGGGUGCCCGGGUUCUCUCCGCGGCGCUCAUCGGUGGAGGCGAAGAUGCAGAGCACCAGCUGCAGUGUCAGGAAGAGCUCCACAGUCACCGCCUGGCCAGCCGUCGUGCUGUUGCUGAGCUGGGGACAGAGAAGAGGCGGAUGAGGAAGGGCCACUUGUGCAGAGAAGGGGGCGCCCACAGAGAUUGUGCGGGACUCAUCAAAGACAUCAGGACUCUUGUCCAGUGGCUCAAGGAUGGAAAAGGCCGGGAACUACCGGAAACAAGCACAAAAGAGGCACUCACUGUCCUGGCUUAGGAUGGGGGUACAGAGGCUGUGGUGUGUCCGUGCCUGGCCUGUAAGGAGCACCUGCCACGGGACCUGCAAACCCUCAAAGCAGAAGAAAUGCUGGGCCCCUCUUCUCUCUUGAGAACCCUGUGAUGAUCACUCCAAGGCUCCCCGCAGCUUGGAAAGCAUGUCUGCUCGGGACACCAACCCCUGCUGAGGUAUAGCCCUGUCUUCACUGUAAUGUAGGCGUUGAGUCCAACAGAAACCUGGAUGAGGCUCUUCCUGCACGACGGUCAGGGUGGAAGAAGCCAGCAGUCUGUCUGCAUCCUGCUUUGCUCUGGUAUCAUUGCUCCUUUCAUCCUGACCCUCCUAUGGUGGCUGUGUUCCUGGCUCCAGCCUCUCUCUCUGCCUCUGUCUCCAUCUCUCUCCCUACAUCACCCAGAGCCCAUCCCUCCCAUCUCAUCCUUUACAAGGGAUUCCCCAGGACCUGCCCCUUGUGGAUGGCAAAGUUGUGGCUACUCACAGCAUUGACAGCCAGGUCCCCGCGGAUGUCUGCUGGCGUGAUCUCAUGGAGCAGAGCGGCUCCGGCCAC